UCCUCCUCCUCCUCCACGCUCACCCCCACCCUCCUGCUUUUUCGCAAUAUUGACGCAAGGCAAAAUAGUGGAACAAAAGAAACAACUUCCUCGAAGCUUUGCUGAAGCUCCGCUCGCCCGCCACUCAGAAGAAUGGCAGCGUGUUGUCAACUCAACUUGCCGGGGAGGAGGCGGUGAACGGCGGUCGUGGUGUGGAGGGUGUCACCCCAGCGGAGAGGCAAAGAUGCGGAGCGAGCACUCCACUAAAGCAUCCAGUAGCUGCUGCCCCGUGCGAUGAAGAGAACCCAAUCACGUCCACCCGUUAUGUUGUGGCAGUGCCGUAGCAGCACGGAAUGGUUUGUGGGUUACACUGAGAUGCAGGCCAUACCGUGCUGCCACAGUGAAGCCCGACCCGCUCGUCCGGACGGCGCCCGUCGUCGCUCCGCCGCCUCACUUGCAGCGUAUCGGCCGGCGCAGGUCACUUGACUGUAGCAGCACGUAAAUAUUGGAGUGGACUCUCUCAGCCGAAGUCUCCAGUAUUGAUCGUGCUGCUGAAGCAAAGAUGACCACUCGCUCACAAACGCGGCCACCAAAGUCAAUCCUGUUUUUAAACGUAUUAAUGUUACCAUGAAUAAACACACUGGGUAUAAUAUA